rnacentral:rRNA from 1 species
UACGUAGGGCGCAAGCGUUGUCCGGAAUUAUUGGGCGCAAAGAGCGUGUAGGCGGCCAAGCAGGUCCGCUGUGAAAACUCGAGGCUCAACCUCGAGACGUCGGUGGAAACCGUUUGGCUAGAGUCCGGAAGAGGAGAGUGGAAUUCCCGGUGUAGCGGUGAAAUGCGCAGAUAUCGGGAAGAACACCCGUGGCGAAGGCGGCUCUCUGGGACGGUACUGACGCUGAGACGCGAAAGCGUGGGGAGCGAACAGG